rnacentral:rRNA from 1 species
CUAAUACAUGCAGUCGAGCGAAUGGAUUAAGAGCUUGCUCUUAUGAAGUUAGGCGGCGGACGGGUGAGUAACACGUGGGUAACCUGCCCAUAAGACUGGGAUAACUCCGGGAAACCGGGGCUAAUACCGGAUAACAUUUUGAACCGCAUGGUUCGAAAUUGAAAGGCGGCUUCGGCUGUCACUUAUGGAUGGACCCGCGUCGCAUUAGCUAGUUGGUGAGGUAACGGCUCACCAAGGCAACGAUGCGUAGCCGACCUGAGAGGGUGAUCGGCCACACUGGGACUGAAACCCGGCCCAAACUCCUACGGGAGGCAGCAGUAGGGAAUCUUCCGCAAUGGACGAAAGUCUGACGGAGCAACGCCGCGUGAGUGAUGAAGGCUUUCGGGUCGUAAAACUCUGUUGUUAGGGAAGAACAAGUGCUAGUUGAAUAAGCUGGCACCUUGACGGUACCUAACCAGAAAGCCACGGCUAACUACGUGCCAGCAGCCGCGGGAAUACGUAGGUGGCAAGCGUUAUCCGGAAUUAUUGGGCGUAAAGCGCGCGCAGGUGGUUUCUUAAGUCUGAUGUGAAAGCCCACGGCUCAACCGUGGAGGGUCAUUGGAAACUGGGAGACUUGAGUGCAGAAGAGGAAAGUGGAAUUCCAUGUGUAGCGGUGAAAUGCGUAGAGAUAUGGAGGAACACCAGUGGCGAAGGCGACUUUCUGGUCUGUAACUGACACUGAGGCGCGAAAGCGUGAGGAGCAAACAUGAUUAGAUACCCCUGG